rnacentral:rRNA from 1 species
GACGAACGCUGGCGGCGUGCUUAACACAUGCAAGUCGAACGGUAAGGCCCUUCGGGGUACACGAGUGGCGAACGGGUGAGUAACACGUGGGUGAUCUGCCCUGCACUUCGGGAUAAGCCUGGGAAACUGGGUCUAAUACCGGAUAGGACCACUGCCUGCAUGGGUGGAGGUGGAAAGCUUUUGUGGUGUGGGAUGGGCCCGCGGCCUACCAGCUUGUUGGUGGGGUGAUGGCCUACCAAGGCGACGACGGGUAGCCGGCCUGAGAGGGUGACCGGCCACAAUGGGACUGAGAUACGGCCCAGACUCCUACGGGAGGCAGCAGUGGGGAAUAUUGCACAAUGGGCGCAAGCCUGAUGCAGCGACGCCGCGUGAGGGAUGACGGCCUUCGGGUUGUAAACCUCUUUCAGCACCGACGAAGCGCAAGUGACGGUAGGUGCAGAAGAAGGACCGGCCAACUACGUGCCAGCCGCCGCAGUAA